AACGAACGCUGGCGGCAUGCCUAACACAUGCAAGUCGAACGAGACCUUCGGGUCUAGUGGCGCACGGGUGCGUAACGCGUGGGAACCUGCCCUUAGGUUCGGAAUAACUCCCCGAAAGGGGUGCUAAUACCGGAUAAUGUCUUCGGACCAAAGAUUUAUCGCCUUUGGAUGGGCCCGCGUUGGAUUAGCUAGUUGGUAGGGUAAAAGCCUACCAAGGCGACGAUCCAUAGCUGGUCUGAGAGGAUGAUCAGCCACACUGGGACUGAGACACGGCCCAGACUCCUACGGGAGGCAGCAGUGGGGAAUAGUGGACAAGGGGCGAAAGCCUGAUCCAGCAAUGCCGCGUGAGGGAUGAAGGCCUUAGGGUUGUAAAGCUCUUUUACCCGGGAUGAUAAUGACAGUACCGGGAGAAUAAGCGCCGGCUAACUCCG
rnacentral:rRNA from 1 species